UCAAAGAUUACAUUUAGGGUUAUUUGCAUUAAGAAUAACGGGGAUACUCAGAUAACUGGCACUUGGCGAACUUCCUGAAAUUGCGUUCAGCAACUUGGGCAAUACGACAAGCGCCUGGCCCCAGCCACCACCCCAAGCUUUGUUUAUUGGACAUGACUUGUGAUGUCAUAGAGUGACGAAAUGGAUUUCCCGAGGCAUUUUUGCGCGCCAAAAGCUUAAGCCCGAGGCCAUUUUAGCGCUAAAACGGGUGAAGCGAUGGACAACGAUAGAAUAAUAUGUCAUAUUUGCGAAAAAAAUUACAAAAAUAAGAAGCAGCUUCAGAAAUAUAUUCUUAAUAUACAUGGGGUUAAAAAAAAGGAACAAUUCGAUGUGCAGUCGAUAACUGUUUGACAAUAUUUUUGUCAUUAGACGAAUAUCGAAGUCAUUUAGCAGAUAAUCAUAGAUUGAAGAUUGAGGGAAAAGAAAUUCUCACUUUUUCAACUAGAGAAGAAUUUGAGAAAUGGUUAUAUGAAGAGGAACAGAGUACAAAUACUCAUUUUGUUAAACCUAGAGGGAGAGGAAAUACAAUAGCCAUUCUGUUAUAGUUUACGUAUGCAACAGAUCUGGAACAUUUAAAUCUGAUGGGCUAGACAAGAGACAAUUAAAGGCUCAAGGAACAUCAAAAAUUGGAUAUCACUGCCCAGCCAGCAUUAAUGUUAAAAUUUUUGAGUCGCAUUUAGAAGUUACAUACUUCAAAGACCAUUAUAAGCAUGAUAACUCCUUUUGUCAUCUUCCUUUUCCAAAGCAAGAAAAAGAAAUUAUAGCAGGUAAAUUGCUACAAGGGGUAUCUGAGAAAAGAAUUCUUCAAGAUGUAAGAUUAUCUUUAACCGAUACUCCUCAGCGUAAACAUCUUGUGACACGAAAAGACAUCUUUAAUGUAAAACAAUCUUUUGGAGUGCAACUUGCUUCCAAAGGAUCUGUUAUGAAAACAGAUGAGGAAAGUGUAAGUGCAUGGGUACAGGAAAUGAGUCAAAAAGAUUUUAAUCCUGUGCUCAUGUAUAAAAAGCAAGGCCAAGAAUUCUUGGAACUAAAGAAGCAGGACUUUUUUCUUGUGCUGAUGACACCAUUUCAAUUGACCAAAUUUUACAAAAUUUAGGCUUUGACAGACUAUGCAUCGAUUCAACUCAUAAUAUAUCAAACUAUGCAUUUGAACUAAUUACUUUGAAUAGUCAUAGAUGAAUAUGAGGAGGGCAUACCAGUUGCAUUUUGUGUAUCAUCAAGUGUAAGUACACAAAUAUUAUGUACUUUUUUUCAAUGCAUAAAGAGUGUAGUGCCAAAUGUGAAGCCCAAUACUUUCAUGAGCGAUGAUGCACCAAUGUUUUACAAUGCAUGGGAAAAAGUAUUUGGUAUCUGUGAGCACAGGCUGUUAUGUUCGUGGCAUGUUGACAGGGCUUGGAGAGGACAUUUAAAUUGCAUUAAAAAUAAAGAAAAAAGGAAGCUGUGUAUAAAACUUUAAAAACAUUGCUUUAUGAAUUAGAUGAAAAUUCAUUUUGUUUAAUGCUUGAAAAAUUUAUGGAGCAGUUGGAGGAAGAUUGUGAAACAAAAGACUUUUACAAUUAUUUUCUGACAUACUACCAUAAACGCAUAAAAAUGUGGGCAUACUGUUUUCGCAAGAAUGUAAAAUUGAACACAAAUA
rnacentral:lncRNA from 1 species